CUCUCUCUCUCUCUCUCUCUCUCUCUCUGAAGUGAUGCCACCGCCUUUAUCUGUUGUUACACCAUUGACAGUAAAAAAAAAAAUGACUUCAUCCCUCAGUUUAUAGCCUACUGUAGCUAGCCAUGGGAUUUCCCUGAACAAAGCAACCAAUCGUGUAGAUGUAAACACACUGUCAUCAUAGCACACGCUGCUUGCUGUUCAAUUUGUCAGUGCAGUGAAAGACAAAUAGAUUAAUCCAUGGCAGAGCAACAAGCAAGAUAAAAUAAAACUAAGUUCUAUUAUUAUUGAGUCGACUGGUUUCUGUUUCUAUCAGAUGGCGGUGGAAACUGUUCGUGAAGAGGACGUGCUAAAUGUGAUCUUGUGCGGAAGGAGCGCUAGGCGGGUGUCUUCGGGGUACUUACCGGAGAACAGAGCUACAGGUGUCAAUCAAGCUCCUGUCGUCUCGCACUGCAGGUCGAAGUGAGUGGACUGAGUGGAUGAGAGACGUGGAUGUGGUCAGACAAGUCCAUUCAGAGCGGGUUCUGGUUCCACUGGGUGUGUACAAGGCCUGGUGUCUGAUGGGCCUGCUGUAUGUCUGGAUGCCUGAAGGCUCUCUACACUCUCUACUAUACCAGACCCAGCUGUAUCCAGGUCUACCGAUGAGUUUCAGGCUUGGCAUCCUAUUAGAUGUGACAGAGG